GGGUUGUGAGGUUAAGCGACUAAGCGUACACGGUGGAUGCCCUGGCAGUCAGAGGCGAUGAAGGACGUGCUAAUCUGCGAAAAGCGCCGGCGAGGUGAUAUGAACCCUUGACCCGGCGAUGUCCGAAUGGGGAAACCCAGUGCAAUCCGUUGCACUAUCGUUAACUGAAUACAUAGGUUAACGAGGCGAACCGGGGGAACUGAAACAUCUAAGUACCCCGAGGAAAAGAAAUCAACCGAGAUUCCCCCAGUAGCGGCGAGCGAACGGGGAGCAGCCCGGAGUCUGAAUCAGCUUGUGUGUUAGUGGAACGGUCUGGAAAGUCCGACGGUACAGGGUGAUAGUCCCGUACACGAAAGCACACUGCUGUGAACUCGAAGAGUAGGGCGGGACACGUGGUAUCCUGUCUGAAUAUGGGGGGACCAUCCUCCAAGGCUAAAUACUCCUGACUGACCGAUAGUGAACCAGUACCGUGAGGGAAAGGCGAAAAGAACCCCGGCGAGGGGAGUGAAAAAGAACCUGAAACCGUGUACGUACAAGCAGUGGGAGCCUCUUUAUGGGGUGACUGCGUACCUUUUGUAUAAUGGGUCAGCGACUUAUAUUCUGUAGCAAGGUUAACCGUAUAGGGGAGCCGAAGGGAAACCGAGUCUUAACUGGGCGUUAAGUUGCAGGGUAUAGACCCGAAACCCGGUGAUCUAGCCAUGGGCAGGUUGAAGGUUGGGUAACACUAACUGGAGGACCGAACCGACUAAUGUUGAAAAAUUAGCGGAUGACCUGUGGCUGGGGGUGAAAGGCCAAUCAAACCGGGAGAUAGCUGGUUCUCCCCGAAAGCUAUUUAGGUAGCGCCUCGUGAACUCAUCUUCGGGGGUAGAGCACUGUUUCGGCUAGGGGGCCAUCCCGGCUUACCAACCCGAUGCAAACUACGAAUACCGAAGAAUGUUAUCACGGGAGACACACGGCGGGUGCUAACGUCCGUCGUGAAGAGGGAAACAACCCAGACCGCCAGCUAAGGUCCCAAAGUCAUGGUUAAGUGGGAAACGAUGUGGGAAGGCACAGACAGCCAGGAUGUUGGCUUAGAAGCAGCCAUCAUUUAAAGAAAGCGUAAUAGCUCACUGGUCGAGUCGGCCUGCGCGGAAGAUGUAACGGGGCUAAACCAUGCACCGAAGCUGCGGCAGCGACACUUAUGUGUUGUUGGGUAGGGGAGCGUUCUGUAAGCCGUUGAAGGUGUGCUGUGAGGCAUGCUGGAGGUAUCAGAAGUGCGAAUGCUGACAUAAGUAACGAUAAAGCGGGUGAAAAGCCCGCUCGCCGGAAGACCAAGGGUUCCUGUCCAACGUUAAUCGGGGCAGGGUGAGUCGACCCCUAAGGCGAGGCCGAAAGGCGUAGUCGAUGGGAAACAGGUUAAUAUUCCUGUACUUGGUGUUACUGCGAAGGGGGGACGGAGAAGGCUAUGUCAGCCGGGCGACGGUUGUCCCGGUUUAAGCAUGUAGGCGGAGGUUCCAGGUAAAUCCGGUACCUUAUUAACGCUGAGGUGUGAUGACGAGGCACUACGGUGCUGAAGUGAUAAAUGCCCUGCUUCCAGGAAAAGCCUCUAAGCAUCAGGUAACACGAAAUCGUACCCCAAACCGACACAGGUGGUCAGGUAGAGAAUACCAAGGCGCUUGAGAGAACUCGGGUGAAGGAACUAGGCAAAAUGGUGCCGUAACUUCGGGAGAAGGCACGCUGAUAUGUAGGUGAAGCCCCUGCGGGCGGAGCUGAAAUCAGUCGAAGAUACCAGCUGGCUGCAACUGUUUAUUAAAAACACAGCACUGUGCAAACACGAAAGUGGACGUAUACGGUGUGACGCCUGCCCGGUGCCGGAAGGUUAAUUGAUGGGGUUAGCGGCAACGCGAAGCUCUUGAUCGAAGCCCCGGUAAACGGCGGCCGUAACUAUAACGGUCCUAAGGUAGCGAAAUUCCUUGUCGGGUAAGUUCCGACCUGCACGAAUGGCGUAAUGAUGGCCAGGCUGUCUCCACCCGAGACUCAGUGAAAUUGAACUCGCUGUGAAGAUGCAGUGUACCCGCGGCAAGACGGAAAGACCCCGUGAACCUUUACUAUAGCUUGACACUGAACACUGGUCCUUGAUGUGUAGGAUAGGUGGGAGGCUUUGAAGCGUGGACGCCAGUCUGCGUGGAGCCAACCUUGAAAUACCACCCUUUAAUGGCUGGUGUUCUAACGUAGACCCGUAAUCCGGGUUGCGGACAGUGUCUGGUGGGUAGUUUGACUGGGGCGGUCUCCUCCCAAAGAGUAACGGAGGAGCACGAAGGUUGGCUAAUCCUGGUCGGACAUCAGGAGGUUAGUGCAAUGGCAUAAGCCAGCUUGACUGCGAGCGUGACGGCGCGAGCAGGUGCGAAAGCAGGUCAUAGUGAUCCGGUGGUUCUGAAUGGAAGGGCCAUCGCUCAACGGAUAAAAGGUACUCCGGGGAUAACAGGCUGAUACCGCCCAAGAGUUCAUAUCGACGGCGGUGUUUGGCACCUCGAUGUCGGCUCAUCACAUCCUGGGGCUGAAGUAGGUCCCAAGGGUAUGGCUGUUCGCCAUUUAAAGUGGUACGCGAGCUGGGUUUAGAACGUCGUGAGACAGUUCGGUCCCUAUCUGCCGUGGGCGCUGGAGAAUUGAGGGGGGCUGCUCCUAGUACGAGAGGACCGGAGUGGACGCAUCACUGGUGUUCGGGUUGUCAUGCCAAUGGCACUGCCCGGUAGCUAAAUGCGGAAGAGAUAAGUGCUGAAAGCAUCUAAGCACGAAACUUGCCCCGAGAUGAGUUCUCCCUGAGACCUUGAGUCUCCUGAAGGAACGUUGAAGACGACGACGUUGAUAGGUCGGGUGUGUAAGCGCAGCGAUGCGUUGAGCUAACCGAUACUAAUGAACCGUGAGGCUUAACCUUACAACGCCGAAGGUGUUU
rnacentral:rRNA from 1 species